rnacentral:rRNA from 1 species
ACUCCUACGGGAGGCAGCAGUGGGAAUAUUGCGCAAUGGGCGAAAGCCUGACGCAGCCACGCCGCGUGAGCGAUGAAGGCCCUAGGGUCGUAAAGCUCUGUGGAGGGAGAAGAAACCUGACGGUAUCCCUUUAGCAAGCACCGGCUAACUCCGUGCCAGCAGCCGCGGUAAUACGUAGGGUGCAAGCGUUGUCCGGAAUUAUUGGGCGUAAAGAGCUCGUAGGCGGUUUGUCACGUCUGCUGUGAAAAUCCAAGGCUCAACCUUGGACUUGCAGUGGGUACGGGCAGGCUAGAGUGCGGUAGGGGAGAUGGGAAUUCCUGGUGUAGCGGUGGAAUGCGCAGAUAUCAGGAGGAACACCAAUGGCGAAGGCACAUCUCUGGGCCGUAACUGACGCUGAGGAGCGAAAGCGUGGGGAGCGAACAGGAUUAGAUA